UACGAGGGGGGCAAGCGUUGUUCGGAAUUAUUGGGCGUAAAGGGAGCGUAGGCGGUUCUGUAAGUCGUGUGUGAAAUCUUCGGGCUCAACCCGAAGUCUGCACACGAAACUGCAGGGCUUGAGUAUGGGAGAGGUGAGUGGAAUUCCUGGUGUAGCGGUGAAAUGCGUAGAUAUCAGGAGGAACACCUGUGGCGAAAGCGGCUCACUGGACCAUUACUGACGCUGAGGCUCGAAAGCUAGGGGAGCAAACAGG
rnacentral:rRNA from 1 species